rnacentral:rRNA from 1 species
UACAGAGGUCCCAAGCGCUGUUCGGAUUCACUGGGCGUAAAGGGUGCGUAGGUGGUGAGGUAAGUCGGAUGUGAAAGCUCGGAGCUCAACUCCGAAAUGGCAUUGGAAACUACCUUGCUCGAGGGUUGGAGGGGGGACUGGAAUACUUGGUGUAGCAGUGAAAUGCGUAGAUAUCAAGUGGAACACCAGUGGCGAAGGCGAGUCCCUGGACAACUCCUGACACUGAGGCACGAAAGCUAGGGGAGCAAACAGG